GUCACAAACUCGGAUUUACGCUCGGAGUUCACAUGGCUGGGCAGACCAGUUUGGACCAGCUCGUUAUCAACGCGUUCCCAGCCCCCAGCCAGAGCCACGGCUACGGGCAGAGCGGAGACGAAGCAGAUGGUCGUUAAGCAUCGGGAAAACCAUGCGUCGGCCCGCGCCUGGCCCAGGUGCCUGCGCCUAGCACGGACACAUCUGCCUGGUGCUAACAACCUCGGGGACGCCACUCCCGGUGGAAAUGCAGCCGGAGGGGGCUGAGGAGAGGCUGUAGGCGCCCCGGCGGAGCUGCUUUGUGCCUGGUAAAACCUCGGAUCGCUGCCUGGUGCUGCGUGGGGGGCUGGCCAUGCUGCCAGCAGACCCCAAACACAGCGGUGGUGCCGGGAGGUGAGCGGUCCCCCGGUGCCACGGCGUCCCUGAGCGGCUCACGGCGAACCUCUCGCUGCUCCCGGUGUCCUCAGAGGGGCAGAGGCCAGGCCGACGUCCCAGCACGAUGUUCUCCAACAGGUUCCACAGGAGGGGGUUCCAGGAUGCUGCCUGGGAGGAGGGGCCGUGGCAGCCCAGACCCUACGGUGCCGGCCCCCAGGACAACCGGUACAAGGCGUCCUGGGAGCACCAGCCCUGGAGAGGCAGGCACAACAGGCACCCACCCGGUCCCUGGAAGCCCUGGCCUUUCCCCGGCCCCGCCGACUUCUAUAGGAUGGAUGGGGACAGGAGAUGGACACCCCAGGACUGUCCCCGUCCGCCACCCCCCUGGGACUACAGAGAGGAGCACCAAAGACAGGAGGAAAACUUCACCGAGGACUCGUACCCGGUGCAGCCGCUGUUUGCCCCGGAUUCCUUCACCUGGUCGGAGUUCCCCGGCAACGAGCACCCCUCUGCCGACUUCUCGUGGGAGCAAGGGGCCUUCCAGGAAAGCUGCCCGCCCUGGCGUCCUCGUGGCCCAAGCCACAGACGCUGCCGUUACAUUCGCCAUGUCCAGCAGGAGACGUUGGUGUACCACAGCCCGGCCCCUCCCCAGCUCCCCAAAGGGAAGCAGGCGUCCUCCAAAUCCUCCCAGUCCUGCCCCCAGGAGAGCCAGCCAGGAGGCAAGGGAGAUGCGCAGAGCCUUGCUACUCCCCAGCCAGCUAGUGCCGGCAAGGACGGCGUGCAGAGCGGGGAGAAGGUGGCUGAGGGCCUGCCGGCAACCAGCGGAAAGGUGCCGGAGCCCUCCGGGCCAGCAGCCUCCCCGCAGAAGAGCCCAGCCGCUGAUCCUCAGGCUGUGGAGCAGGAGCCAGCAGCUGGAGCAAGGCUGGUUGAGCCAGAAGACAGGCAGAAAGCUGCAGGCAGCCAGAGCCCGGGCCCCUCUGCUUUGAAAACGGAGCCAGCCCUGCCAGAGAACACCUGUACCAGGACGGCGGAGGACUUGGAGCAGGUAGAGCCGUGCAGCCAAAGCGUCCCCGAGGCCGCAGCAGGUGCUGGGUCCCCACCCCACAGCACCUCAGCCCCCCAGGAGCCUGUGGAAACGGCCGGCGCCGCAGCGAGCCCGGGUGUGGAGGUCUCACCAGGAGCUGCUGAGGAGCCCGAUGCACAGCAAAGCCAAGCCAGCUCCAACGUCUGCAGCGAGCCAGCAGCAUCACCCAGGACAGAACACCCUCCUGGGGAUGGGACAGAGCUGGCUGCAGGCUGCCAGCCCUUGCUCUGCUCCAUGCUCCCCGCACCCUCCCCAGCCAGCACAGACCUGCGCUCCGCCGCUGUCCUUGCCAGGAAAGAGGAGAUCGAGCUGUCGUACCAGCAGUUCAGCCUGACCAUCGCCGUGGUGGCCACGAUGCUGCUGGAGAAGGAGCCCUCCAUGGAGGCAGCGCUGGGGCUGGCACUGAGGGCCAACCUGCGCCAGGUGCGCACCCACCACCUCCAGGAGCUGGAGGAUUUCAUCAACAGCUACGACUCUGGCACCCCCAGCCCCUAA
rnacentral:lncRNA from 1 species